rnacentral:rRNA from 1 species
UUACCCAAAUCCCAAUUCGGGGAGGUAGUGACAAGAAAUAACGAUGCUCCGGCCAACGGUCGGGUAAUCGGAAUGAGAACAAUAUAAAUCCCUUAUCGAGGAUCAAUUGGAGGGCAAGUCUGGUGCCAGCAGCCGCGGUAAUUCCAGCUCCAAUAGCGUAUAUUUAAGUUGCUGCGGUUAAAAAGCUCGUAGUCGGAUUUCGGGUGGUACCUACCGGUCCGCCUUUGGUGUGUACUGGUGGGCGCUACCUUUCUGCCGAGGACAGGCUCGUGGGCUUUACUGUCUGGGGUCUGGAGUCGGCGACGUCACUUUGAGUAAAUUAGGGUGUUUAAAGCAGGCGUAUGCUCUGAA